GCAGGGUCAAGUAGGAGGAGUUUCCAGCUCUUUGAUCGUAUCCCAAGCAUGCCAAAAUCAGGGGAUAAGUGUCCAGUGGGGUUAGUCAAAGAUUUCAUUGAACUUAAACUCCAUUAUAACAUAUAUUGCAUUUAAAUAAUGAUGUUAAUUCCCUCUGAAUGUCAGGAAUCCAGAUGGAGAUGUAGAAUUGGAUGAUGUCUGGUUUGCUUAUCCUUCUCGGCCAAGUCAUAUGGUACUCGAGGGAAUUACACUUAAACUGAAGGGUGGCUCAAAAUUAGCCCUUGUAGGACCAAGUGGUGGUGGAAAGGUAAAUGUCGCCACCCCUUUUCCCUUCCAUUUUCCCAUGUUAGAGUUAUUUCCCAGACAGUUGAUGCAUUUCUCUUCACCAUGGACUAACAAAUUAAUAA